GAGGUGAAAGCAGGGUCCUGACAUCGGGGCGGCUUUCGUGUAUCGUCCGGAUCCUGCAACUGUUCAGAAAAAUAACAUUGCCUAACAGGGGCUGAUGUUGGAUGGCCGAAAAGUGAUGAAGGGCGAGAUGGUGUAGGAAAUAAAGUAACGAUCUUAUGCUACGAGCAGCUGCAACAUUUGCCAAGGCGAGGAGACGAUACACCAGAUAUUUUGAAACAACUCAGUAAAACAGGUUAAUAACAUCAGCUGAAAAAAUGGAUCUUCUAAUUUCAAGCCAAUUGUCAUUUCAGUUGGAAAGAUAGAACAGAAAAUAUGGCCAGAAACCCCUCAAGUAUGCUUUUGUGAAAACUGUUGCAGCCCCAUUUGUGAGAUUUGGUAAUUCCUUGCCAACUUGACGAUAUUUUAAAAACAUUUCUGAAAAAUUACUUUUCAAAACAUUGGGGCCGAUUUUUCUCCGAAUUUCGAUAUAUGCUUUCCAUUGAAAAAAUAAAUAAGAGAUUGCAGUUGCCAUAAGUUAAUUAGUUCAGUUUAGCAUUUACGCUCUUGAGCGUCUUAUUCAAUGUUUACUGCUUCCAGCUUUGCUGUGCAAAUAAUUUUGAUAUGUGAUAUUCCUCACAUGUUAAAGAGAACUCGUCUUGUCUCUGUUGUUUCUCUCCUUGUAUUACUAUUUGCCUUGCUCGUAUAAGCUGAUGUUUAUCUAAAUAAAGAUUCAGAUAUCUCUGGCCUGUUU